GUAGUACUCCCCCCGUUCGGAAUUACUUGUCGUAGAAAUGGAUGUAUCUAGACGUAUUUUAGUUCUAGAUACAUCCAUUUUCGCGACAAGUAAUUCCGAACGGAGGGAGUACUAC
rfam:Triticum aestivum genome assembly, contig: Triticum_aestivum_CS42_TGACv1_scaffold_343948_4DL